GACGAACGCUGGCGGCGUGCUUAACACAUGCAAGUCGAACGGAAAGGCCCUGCUUUUGUGGGGUGCUCGAUUGGCGAACGGGUGAGUAACACGUGAGUAACCUGCCCUUGACUUUGGGAUAACUUCAGGAAACUGGGGCUAAUACCGGCUAGGAGCUCCUGCUGCAUGGUGGGGGUUGGAAAGUUUCGGCGGUUGGGGAUGGACUCGCGGCUUAUCAGCUUGUUGGUGGGGUAGUGGCUUACCAAGGCUUUGACGGGUAGCCGGCCUGAGAGGGUGACCGGCCACAUUGGGACUGCGAUACGGCCCAGACUCCUACGGGAGGCAGCAGUGGGGAAUAUUGCACAAUGGGCGGAAGCCGGAUGCAGAAACGCCGCGUGCGGGAUGACGGCCUUCGGGUUGUAAACCGCUUUCGCCUGUGACGAAGCGUGAGUGACGGUAAUGGGUAAAGAAGCACCGGCUAACUACGUG
rnacentral:rRNA from 1 species